rnacentral:tRNA from 1 species
GUGCAUGUAAUUUAAAAAAUAUUAAGCUGUGACCUUAAAAAUAGAGUAAUCCUCUCAUGCACC